CAAGUAUUUGAUAGAACUUAUGUUCAUAUACGCCAUUUCUUAUACAUCAACAUUUGUUCAUCGGAAUCUAAGCACAGCCAUCACCGCCAUUCCCUAGACAUCAAGGUCUUGCCGUUCAAAAAUGGUAAACUCUUGGCAUCUUUUGCACUUGUGUCGAGCGACGAUUCGCUGCCACGUUGGCAAUUAGAUUGGGUCAAUUUGGAGAAUCUGAAAGUACUUUUAAGGAACGACGAUUAUGCUGAGUUAAGUAGUAGCUCGUUCGUGUACGUAGGUUCGAACACGAACGACGACACUAUUUACUGGGCAAUCGGCAUUUCCAGUGAAAGUGCUUUGGUUCUUAAAUUGGAGGACUUGAAGUUUUGUUUCGUUGGGUUUAGAACGCUUGUGGUUGCAACCGAUUGAGUUGAGUUCAGAGCCAUGGGCAAUUUGGUUAUUACCGGUCAUUGCUAAGCCAAAGGUUACUCUGAUCCGAUUCUCACCUAUUCAACUGGCAUCUCUCAAAAUAUUGCCAUAGCCAUUGACGGCACGAGCAUGGAUGGGAAAGGCGUGGACGCUGCUGCCUGCUAGUUACCUUCCAUCGGGAGCUCUCCGGCGAUGGAUGAUGACACAGCUACUGAGGCUGAUUGGUGCAAGGACAAGGCGUGACGCGUAACAACUGCGAUGGAGGACGCGCGGUAGAGAUGCGGCGAGGGGAGAGCUGCACGCCAGGAAGGGUGCCUGAUGGUGGCGCAAUAGAGAUACGACAACGGCACAAAGUGCGGGAGGAGAUUGACGGGAGGAGAAGCGUGAGAGAGAGGACAGAAGGUAGAAGUUAAGGUAAGGGACGGUAAAGCUGUCAACAUUCACAUGUUUUGUAGCCGCCGACCAGGUCUUAUGGUCUCUACAAUGCAGGCUCUGGAUAACUUUGGAUUAGAUGUUCAGCAAGCUGUUAUUAGUUGCUUCAAUGGUUUUGCUUUAGACAUCUUCAAAGC